UCGCGAAAACUUUGCAAUUCACGAAAGUGUGACAGGGCUAUCCCGAGUGCCAUCCGCUGAGGAAGGCUUUACCCAGUCUAGAACGCUGGGGGAAUAAGGAGAGGGCAAGUCUGGUGUCAGCCGCCGCGGUAAUACCAGCCCUCCGAGUGGUGUGGAUGUUUAUUGGGCCUAAAGCAUCCGUAGCUGGCUAAGUUAGUCCCCUGUUAAAUCCAACGAAUUAAUCGUUGGAUCGCGGGGGAUACUGCUUGGCUAGGGGACGAGAGAGGCAGACGGUAUUUCCGGGGUAGGGGUGAAAUCCUAUAAUCCCGGGAAGACCACCAGUGGCGAAGGCUGUCUGCUAGAACGCGCCCGACGGUGAGGGAUGAAAGCUGGGGGAGCGAACCG
rnacentral:rRNA from 1 species